AACUAUAACAGUCGAUGAGGACAGGUUUAUAAGACUUACAGAUUUCGAUAUCCAAGUCUGGUACAUUUGUACUUUAGCUGGGUUGUUGUUGAAUGCACUGUGGCCGCCUUCACCACCUUAAAGCAGUGUUGUAUAUUACUGAGGCUG
rnacentral:snoRNA from 1 species